rnacentral:rRNA from 1 species
CUGCUGCCUCCCGUAGGAGUCUGGUCCGUGUCUCAGUACCAGUGUGGGGGACCUUCCUCUCAGAACCCCUACGCAUCGUCGCCUUGGUGGGCCGUUACCCCGCCAACUAACUAAUGGAACGCAUCCCCAUCGAUAACCGAAAUUCUUUAAUAUCAAGAUCAUGCGACCUUGAUAUCCUAUCGGAUAUUAAUCUUUCUUUCGAAAGGCUAUCCCCGAGUUAUCGGCAGGUUGGAUACGUGUUACUCACCCGUGCGCCGGUCGCCA